ACGCUCGACACCUACGGGAGACAGCAGUGGGGAAUAUUGCGCAAUGGGGGCAACCCUGACGCAGCAACGCCGCGUGAUUGAAGAAGGCCUCGGUUGUAAGAUCUUAUUACAGGACGGAACAANGACGUACGUGAGAAUAAGACUCGCUACUACGUGCANCAGCGCGUAUACUGAGCGGCGUGCGAG
rnacentral:rRNA from 1 species